rnacentral:lncRNA from 1 species
UCCUGAUUUCAGAUGAUCUGCUCGCCUCAGCCUCAGAAAGUGAUGGGAUUACAGGCAUGAGCCACCACGCCAGGCCAGCAUCCUCAGUAUUGAUUCCACACAUUAUUCCUCCUUCCUGUCUUCCCCCAGGAAACUGAAAGUGGCUCUGUGAUGUCAGAAUUAAGGCUCAGAAUCUAGGGGAGCCUCCUACACUUCUGAAGUAGGAGUGAGGUGGGGAGGGUUGGGGUAAAAUGAUUUCCUUAGAUAAGAAAAAUUGCUUCAUUUCUAGUAAGUGUCAAGCUCUUCAUACACAUUUCACCGAAGACCCAACAGGUCAGCCUCAUUACUUCCCUGUUUUCCUGCAUUAACCUGAAACACAGUGACCUCAAGUAACAGGCCCCAGUUCACACAGCCCUUAGGGCCCUCGCCUGGAUUCCAAUCUGCAGGCUUUGGGAAAUGUUUAUUGACAAGUAGAGCUGGGUGUGAGUGUAUCAAUAAGCACUUGUUAACUGAUUUCUCUCCUUUCAACAUUCUAAACAUUUCCAUUGUAUACUUCUAAGGGCUCAUUGUUUUGUUGAUUAAAAAAAAGUCAACACUCAUUUGCAUCACCGAGAGCCCCUCCUCCUCAUUCCCAGUGGGGCUUGGCGAGCAGAAGCUGGUUUUAGGGGAAGAGUUAGGGACUAGAAGAUCUCGCCUGAUGUGGGUGCCUAACAGAGCUUGACACCUAGUUCUAUAAAUGUUAAUGGUAUUAUUAUUCAGAGCAUUUACAUAAGAAUCACCCUGAUAGCUACUGUUUUGUGGACCUCGACCGUGCUCCCAGCACUGUGGGAGGCCUUUUUCAUUUGCAGCAGCUUUUACUCAUCACCGCCCAGUGGAGUCCAAGGCUCUUUCCCUUUGUGAUAGGUGUGGUUCACUCUCAGGCUCCGAGAGUUUAGGCAACUAGCCUGAACAUCACAAAGCAAACAGUUAGCAAAGUGCGGGUUUAGGGGCCGGGUGUGGUGGCUUACGCCAUUCAUAAGUCUUACCCAUCACUGCCCACCACCUUGGGGCCUAACAAAGUGCCCAGCAUGGGCUGGGCGUGGUGGCUCACACCUGUAAUCCCAGCACUUUGGGAGACCGAGGCGGACAGAUCACCUGAGGUCAGGAGUUAAAGACCGGCCUGGCCAACAUGGCGAAACCCUGUCUCUACUAAAAAUACAAAAAUUAGCUGGGCAUGGUGGUGCACACCUGUAAUCCCUGAGCCGAGAUCAUGCCACUACACUCCAGCCUGGAUGACAGAGCAGGGAAAUGAAGUGAGGCUGGAACUGUGCACGAAUCUGUUAGGCAGAUGAAAGAGCACUGUGAAGUCCUCAAGGUGGGCAUGUGCUGGGUGAGCUGGAGGCCCCACCAGGAGGCCAGAGGGGUUGGAACAGAGUCAGUGAGAGGGCGAGGGCUGGGAAAGCGGGGCUGGGAGGUAGGCAGGAACCAGACUGUGUCGGGCUUUGCAGGCCUUUGUAAGGACUUGGCUUCUACUGUGAGUGAGAUGCUAGGCAUUGCAGAAUUUGUUUAUUUUGGCUGUUUCUUUUCUUUUCUUUCUUUCCUUUCCUUCCUUCCUUCCUUCCUUCCUUCCUUCCUUCCUUCCUUCCUUCCUUCCUUUCUUUCUUUCUUUCUUUCUUUCUUUUAUAUUGUUGUUUUUGUUGUUGAGACGGAGUCUCACUCUGUCGCCUAGACUGGAGUUCAGUGGCGCCAUCUCGACUCACUGCAAGCUCCACCUCCUGGGUUCAAGCGAUUCUUCUGCCUUAGCCUCCGGAGUAGCUGGGACUACAGGCGCCCGCCACCACACCCGGGUAAUUUUUUUUUUUUUUUUUUUAGUAGAGACAGGGUUUCACCAUAUUGGCCAGGCUGGUCUCAAACUCCUGACCUUGUGAUCUGCCCUCCUCAGCCUCCCAAAGUGUUGGGAUUAUAGGCGUAAGCCACCGCUUUUUUCCGUUUUUUGAGAGUUUUGAAAACUCUCAAAAGUCAGGUGAGGAAUGACAUCACCUGACUUAGGUUUUAAAAGGACCACACAACUGCAAGGUCUGUGAAUUGAGAUAUUACAACUCCCAUGUUACUGGGGCAUUUCCUAUCAUUAGACUGUUCUAACUGGAAUAUUUAAGGGUCUAGCCUGCUUGAAGGAAAUCCGAUGUGCAAAAAUCCAGAUAGAACUAACUUUUCCUGAGGGACUGGCAGUCAUUGCAAAUUGCUCAGUGUAGCAGGGGUAAUGUGGUGAUCCCAAGCCUCUGGGCCCUGCUUUCUUUCCGUUGGAAGGACUCAUCACCCCAAAGCCCAUCAGCUGCAUCUCCACAGGUGCCUUCUGCUCACACAGGCACACACAACCAUACAAAAUGGGUGUUUCUGAAUGUCUCCAUGAUUAGAUAAUGGCAGUGGUUGUACAACCCAUCAGCUGCACCUCCAAGAGUGCCUUCUUCUGACACAUGCACACAUGGCCAUAAAAAAAUGGGUGUUUCUGAAUGGCUCCAGAAUUAGAUAAUGGCAAUGGUUGUACGACUUUGUGAAUAUACGAAAACCACUGCAAUGGCACACUUUAAAAGGUACAUUUCAUGGUAUGUGAAUUUUAUGUCAGCAAUAAUAAUAAAAUAAUAAAAAUACUUCCAGAAAUCCUGUUUGUCAUAACACAAAUGCUAGAAACAACUUAAAUGUCUAUCCACAGAGAUCUGUGUUGUUUUUGUUUUUGUUUUUGAGACGAAGUCUCACUCUGUCGCCCAGGCUAGAGUGCAGUGGUGCGAUCUUGGCUCACUGCAACCUCCACCUCCCGUUUUCAAGCAACUCAUGCAUCAGCCUCCCAAGUAGCUGGGAUUACAGUCGUGCACCACUGUGCCCAGCUAAUUUUUAUAUUUUUGUAGAGUCGGGGUUUCGUCAUGUUGACCAGACUCGUCUUAAAUUCCUGAUCUCAGGUGAUCCGCCUGCCUCGGCCUCCCAAAGUGCUGGGAUUACAGGCGUGAGCCACUGCACCUGGCCAUGUGUUUGGUUUUGUUUUUACAUAAAGACGGGUCUUGAACUCCUGAGCUCCAGUGAUCCUCCUGCCUCAGUUACUGACGUGCUGGGAUUAGAGGCAAGAGCCAUUGUGCUCAGCUCCCAUCUCUACUUUUAAAUAACAAACAUGUAUAUGUAUAACUUUCCUCUUCCUCUCUCUCUCUCUCUCUCUCUUCUCUCUCUCUCUUUCUUUCUUUCUUGACAAGGUCUUGCUCUGUCUCCCAGGCUGGAGUGCAGUGGUGCCAUCAUUGCUCACUGUAGCCUCAACCUCCUGGGCUCAAGUGAUCCUCUUGCCUCAGUCUCCCAAGUAGCUGGGACUACAGGCGUGCGGCCGACACAUCCUAAUUUUUGUAUUUUUCAUAGAGACGGGGUUUUACCAUGUUGCUCAGGCUGGUCUCGAACUCCUGGGCUCAAGGGCCUGCCUCGGCCUGAGUGAGGAAGGGACUUCGGGGUUUUACCGUGUUGCCCAGGCUGGUCUCAAGCUCCUGCCUCAGGCAAUCCGCCCACCUCGGCCUCCCAAAGUGCUAGGAUUACAGGCGUGGGCCACCACACCCAGCCACAUAUACUAAAACAUUAUACAGAGGUCAGCAUGGCCCCUUAGCAAGGAUGACUUGCAAAUUCGUGAAGCUUUCCAUAUUUUUGUGAUUAUUAUACAUUGCAUGAUUGUAUCAAAAUAUCUUGUAACACAUAAAUAUAUACGCUUACUAUGUACCCAGAAAAAUUAAAAAUGAAUUUUUUUCUUUUUUGAGAUGGAGUCUGGCUCUGUCGCUCAGGCUGGAGUGCAAUGGAGCGAUCCUGGCUCACUGCAACCUCCACCUCCCAGGUUCAAGUGAUUGUCCUGCCUCAGCCUCCUGAGUAGCUGGGAUUACAGGUGUGUGCCACCACACCUGGCUAAUUUUUUUUUUUUUUUUUUGAGAUGGAGUCUCUCACUCUCGCCCAGGCUAGAGUGCAGUGGCGCCAUCUCGGCUCACUGCAAGCUCCACCUCCCGGG